CCCCCCUCAGAUCCUCUCCCUUCUCCCCCGUGCAGCGAACCCUAGCCCCUCUCUCCCCCGCACACCACUCCUCCUCCCUUCCAGAUCACAGCCGCCACCUCCUCCUUUCUAGAUCGCCACCUCCACCUCCCUCCGGACGAGCUCCCCGCCGUCCAUGGCCUCCCCCACGCCCUUCUCCCCCGUGAGCCCUCUAUCUCUCCCUCGCACGACUCCUCUACUCCACUCGAUUCCGGCGAGUUGAGGCGGCUCUCGCCGGCGCGCAGCACACCCCGGGGUUCAGGCGGUGUUGUGCGCGGCGGUGGCACUGGCGCUGUGCGCAGGCGGCAUUGGCGCGUCACCUGCGGCAAGGGGCGCGGGGUGCCGGAAGCACGUGCGGAGGGUCACGGAGUACGGGGCGGUGGGGGACGGCAAGACGCUCAACACGGCGGCAUUCGCCAGGGCGGUGGUGGACCUAGGCAGGCGCGCGGGCCACCGCGGCGCAGCGCUGGUGGUGCCGGCGGGGCGGUGGCUCACUGGGCCCUUCAACCUCACCAGCCGCUUCACCCUCUUCCUCCACCGCGGCGCCGAGAUCCUCGCAUCCCAGGGAUUUUCUUUACAGUGCUGGGCGUAGUGAUGUUCAUCCCUGGGUUCUACUACACAAGAAUAGCAUAUUAUGCUUACAAAGGGUACCAGGGCUUCUCUUUUGCCAACAUCCCUCCCAUCUGAAAUGAUUUGCUGUAAUGACGGGCAUGGGCAUGGCAGGGAGCUCCGCAUCCGAGUCCCAGCCCACCCACCCCUCACCCCUCGCUUUGAUCCCAAGGCACUGCGCGGUUCCCGGCCAGUUCAUGAUUUUGGCUUCUGCGGGUUCUGAUCAGUGAAUAUAUUUCUGCUUGUAAGAGGGUGUUUGGUUGGACGGUAAACUUGCUGCACAACUGGACCUCGUUACAUGCAGUGAAACAAAUUACCACAUCACUGGUGAGCUUAUUUACAUAAGAACACAAGCAUGACUAGAUCUAAGAAUCACAGAGAUUAAGUCAGCAUAUCUGAUAAUUGCUUUCGUUGCUUGUAUGUUCAGUUUACGGGUCUCCUUUGACUGCACAAGCUGAAUAUCACUCCCUCUGUUCAUAAAUAAGUCAUGUGCAAAGAGGUUGCCUUCAGUUUACUUUCUGCCUGUAGAGUUACUGUGUUUCUGAUGGAUUUUGAAAUCAUACCAUAUGUUUUCUUAUAAGCAAAUUAUAUUGAUGGUUGAAAGAUUUUAUAUGCUUUUGAUGCGUGAUCCUUCUAAUGCUAGGUGAUUUGUUUCUUGGAAUUUGGAAGAGGAAGACGAUGAAGCGUUCUGGUUGUACUUCAUAGCUAGUUUCAUUGUAUUUUGUACUGGUCUGGUUGUAUGAACAGUAUGUAAAUAUUGUAAUAGGCUACACUUAUUGGUCUAGUUGUAUUUUGUACUGGU